rnacentral:lncRNA from 1 species
AGGCAUGAAGAAGUUUAAUUUUGGAAGCAAUCAAGAUUAAAUUGGAAAUCAAUUGAAAGAAAAGGAAAAUUAAAGUUAAGAACCCGUAGCCAACAAGAAUUCGAAGACCAAAAUUGGGAGGCAAUUCCUCAAGUUUCGAAUGGACAUGCAUUUUUGGAAAAUAGACAAUUUACUUCGGCAAUUGCAUGUGCACAGCAAAAUUAAAAAAAAAAUCCUAAUGCAUCAUGGUCAUUUCACAAUGAACGAGAAAUCAAACGGUAAAACGGACAUCACUUUUGAACUCAGGAUAGUCGAAAACCUUAGGAGGAGCACAAAAGGAAAAAUGUCACUGUUCACAUGUACAACACUAUUCACAUAUACGGAACGAUGACGUGGCAUUGACCGAUGACGUGGCAUUGACUGAUGAGGUGUCAUGAUUCUAUUGGACAAAAUUCUUAUACACUGUUGAUCGGUGACAUGGCAACAUGUUAGUGGACCAAAAAUCGCGCGUACGGUACAUGCAUAUACACAGGAUUUUUUUCAACCAAACCGUGUCACUGUUCAGGCCGGUUGACUGUUCAAACCGCGUGGUCAAACUGUGUCACUAUUCAAACCACGUGGACAAACCGCGUACUGUUGACUGAUGACGUGGCGCAAUCCUGAGCGUCCAAACUGUUUUUAAUCCGAUGGCCAUGAUUUACUCAAUGUAUAUAUAAAAAGGGGGCCUCCCCCCUAAUUUGGCAUCUCUGAAUCUAUUUUUGGACUCCAUUUUUCUGUAAUUCCUUCUACAUCUUGUAUUUUCUAUGUAUUUUAAUAAAUUUCCAUUUUACCCCUAGUUCAAUUAUGAGUAGCUAAUUUUCUUUCAAGCUUGGGUUGAAGGUGAAGUCUCAACAUUUGCCAUGGGCUUUAUUUGGUAAAUUUAUUUUCUCUUCCUCUAAUUUUUGUGGAUGUUUUGACUUUUCGUUGAUAAAUAAUAAUAAUCUUGUCUAGAUACCGCCCUGGUUUCACUGGCUCCCUAGUACAAGGUUAUUAUUAUUUGGCACAAUAAGCCCUUAGCACCAUAUUGAUUAGAGUGUGGUUCAUGAGGUGUGGAUUCCCCCCUCAUGAUCUAAUUGACACUAAUAAGGAAUAUUUAGCCCAUGGUGCAUGUUGAUGCGGAUCCAGAUACCCAAGCGCUUCAAUUAUAAUAGUUUUCACUUUAAUUUAAUUCCGCCAUUCCCAUUUAAAUUUUAGAAUACUCCAAAUCAUUUUCACCACAAAACCAUCCACCCACAUAGAAAAUUAAUUCUACGCACAAUUAAAAUCCACCUCCUCGUGGGAUCAACACUCGUCACCAUUAAUCUAUUCUACAAUAGAUUCGUGCGCUUGCAAGUUCAAUAAAAUUUGUACAACACCAACCAUCAUCAUGCAAUUCAGAAAAACAUUUAUCAUGGGUAGAUGCACACCAUAUGUCAAUGAUAUAAACAUUACCAUUGACAAAUUUUUGCUAUCACGUGCAUUCUCAAUAACACAUCUAGUUUUAUCAAAAAUAAUUUUAUAACCCUUGUAGACUAAUGCUAAUCAAGUUGUGUUUCAAAAUUUCAACCAAACAUACAUUUUCAAUUAGAGUUAAGGAAACUUUACUGAUAUUACCAAUUCCGAGAAUCUUUCCCUUUGAAUUGUCUCCAAAGGAAACAUCUCCACCAUUUUCAAUUUUGGUAAAACUUGAAAACCAUGUAUAGUUUCCGGUCAUAUGCCUUGAACAACCACUAUCCAAGUACCAUUUAUUCUUCUUCUUCUUCUUCAAACCCUACAGAGGAAAUCUCAAGUCUUAGCUACCCAAACCUUUUUGGGUCCUUGAUUGUUAGCAAUGGUUCUUUUUGGAACCCAAACACAUUUUACUUCAUAAUAUGUAUUUCUUUUAACUGGACAUUCAAGCUUCAUGUGACCAUCUUGAUUGCAAUGGUAACAUACAACUUGAUUGUUAAUGGAGUACUCUUCACAAAGUAGUUCUUAUAAUACUUUUGUUUCAAAUUUGGCUUAUAGCCAAUAACUCCUUUGGUUGUUUGUGCAGUUGGGAGAUCUAGCGCAUGAUUUUGCAACUUGAAGUAUUAGAACCCUGAUUUCCACAAAAAGAGAAGAAAUUUAUCAUCUUUAAGGAAAGCAUUAAGUGGCUGGUAAUCAAUAACUAAAAACUGUUCAUUUUUCCAAAGUGGUGAUGGAUGAGUAAAUUGUGAGUGAUUGUCAGGACAAAGUUCAAGGAACUUUUGGGAAAUGGAGGUAUAAGGAGAUGCUUCAGUUGAUGCUGCUGGUUCUCCAAUAAUUCACACAUUUUUUUGUGAAUUAAGCAAGUUAUCUAACAUUUUUUACCCAUUUGUAAAUUUUAACACAACAUCACUAAGUUAUAUAUUCUUUUUCUUGAGCAUCUCAUUUUCCUUUUUCAAAUCAUCUACAUGUGAUUCUAUAUGUUCAUGUGAAUUGCUAGGUUUCUCAUUUGAUAAUACAACUCUAUCAUGCAAUGCUUUAUUUUCUAAUUCUAGGCAUCUAAUCUUUGCAUUUAGAGAUUCAUUUUCAUUUGUGAUCUUUACUAUUUUCUUUUUAAGACAUGCAUUCUUUUUACCAAUUUUCAUCUAAUCAUCAUGUAAUUCCUUAAAAGUAUCAUAUAAUUCAUCAUAAGUAGGAUCACUUACCUCAUCAAGUUCGUGCAACUAUUCAUUUCCAAUUGCCAUGAGAGCUAGAUUUGAUGAAAAUUGUUUCCUCAUCAUUGUCAUCCCAUAUGGCUACCAUUGCCUUUUUCUUGAGUUUGUUGAGGAGAGGACACUCUGAUCGUAUGUGUCUAGGCUUCUUGCACUCAUAACAAGUGAUUGGCUCCUCCUUCUCCUUUUGGUUCUUGUAGUUCCGGAAUCUUUUUCGCUCAUUAGUUUUCCUCAUCACUCUCAUGCUUAAAUGCUUUGAGUGCAACACUUUUCUUCUUCUUUUCCUCAUUGCCUUUUUUCACUGCCAAAUCUUUCUCAUAAGAAAUAAGAGAACCAAUUAAAUCAUCAAUAGGCAAAGUGUUUAAAUCUUAAGCUUCCUCUAUGGCAAAGACCUAAUAAUUUUUUUUAACUUUUUCGUUAUUUGAAAACGUUUUUCCUAGGGCUCCUAAUGUGUUCACAAUAUCUAUGAACCUGUAUACAUAGAAUACACACUCUCAUUUUAUUCCAUUUGGAACAAUUCAUAUUGUCGAGUAUAUCUACUAAUCUUAGACUCUUUAACUUGAUUUGUCCCUUCUUAGACAACUUCAAGUUUGUUCCAUAUUUCAUGAGCACUCUCACAACUAGACACUCUAUGAAAUUCUUUCUUAUCAAGAGCAAAAAACAAAGCAUUCAUUGCCUUGGCGUUUAAAGAUAUCUUUUUCUUUUCUAAUUCACUUUAUUGACUUGAAGGUUUUGGAAUAUCAUCUCCUACUUCAUUUUUAGUCAAAAUGGACCAUCACAAACAACUGGAUAGUCAUUUCCAUCAAAAAAUAUAGGUCUAGUGGUUGAUUGAUCUUCCUUAAAUGUGGAAUCAUUUUGAGUUGCCAUUGAUCUUUAACUCUAGAUGGUUAAGUCUAAACAAGAGCACCUCACUCUGAUACCAAAUGAAAUAUUAACUAGGCAACCUAAGAGGGGGGUGAAUUGGGUUUCUAAAAAUUUAAGCAACAAAGAAACUUAAUGCAAUUUAAACAAAGUAAUCAAAUUCAAAAUAAACAAAUUUAUGUGCAAUGAAAAAUGAAGAGAUAGCAUAAAGAAAGCAAACACGCUAGUUUUACGUAAUUCGACCAAUCGUGGCUACGUCCACGCCUCUAAGCUCACCGGGCUUGAAGAUUUCACUAAGCAAGCCUCCAAAGCUUCAACAACUCUUACAAUUGACUUCUAAGGUAUCAAUACACCUUUACAACAAUAGAUUAUCCCCAAUCUCUUAACUCAAGUGUAUCCCAACACUUACAAUCACUCACAAAUAAAGAUUACAAAAGAAUUUUCUCUCACACAAUGUACUCAAAGUGUGAAUGAAUGAAACAAGAACAAGUUUAAGGCUUAAUGAUGGUUGUAUUUUCAGUAGCAAGCUCAAUGAUAACUCUUGGAUCACUUCUUAUUUGAAUUUGAUUGAGCCAUUUUAUAGUUGGAGCUGAAAACUAGUCGUUGUUGACUUUCUGAACAAAAUCAUAUUGCCAUUAACUACUGUCGGUUAACCGUUUUGACUAUUCCAAAUGACCGUUGGGCUGAAAUUUCAAAUAAUCGAUUAACCGUUUGGAAUUAUUGGUUAGCUGUUAACUUCUAGAAUCCUACAAAACAAGUUUGGCUUGACCGUUCUUGCUAAACGGUUCACAGUUAGACUAUUCCAAAUGACCAUUGGGAUAAAAUUUCAAAUAAUCGGUUAACUAUUUAGAAUUAUUGGUUAGCUGUUAACUUCUAGAAUCCUACAAAACAAGUUUGGCUUGACCAUUCUUGCUAAACAGUUCACGGUUAGACUGUAAUUCCAUUCUGGAAAUUAGCAAUUAGUCGUUUGCUAUUAUCAGUUAGCCGUUUAUUUCCAUAAACUUGUAAAACAAAUUGUACUUAAUCGUUCUUGCUAAACGGUUCACGGUUAGAAACCAAUACCUCUUUGGAAAUUAUCGAUUAACCAUUUUCAUUAAACGAUUCACCGUUAUUGAUGAGAUUAAGGAUAAAACUAUCACAAGCAUGUGGGAAGAGGCAUAUUCAGAUCCCAUUCAAGUUUUCGUCGGACCCGUUACAAGAGCUCGAGCAAAGAAAUUCAAAGAAGCGCUUAAUGGAUUUUGAUUCAAGCAACUUGGGCUCAAUUAAAUUCAUGGAGGCCCGUUGAAGGAAUCGCACAUGAUAAAUGCAUGAUUCAGGCUCUUGAAGUUUUCAAAUAAUCACUUCCAUGAAAUAGGGAGUUGGCUGCACAUUAUACUUUCCCUUUUCUUGAGGAGGCUAUUAGGGAAGCAAAUCAAUUAUUUCUAUUUUAAUUUCCUAAUUUCCAUUUUAAUUGAUGUAAGGCAUUUAAGCCAAUUAGGAUUCUGAUUUGAUUUAGAUUCUUUUCUAUUAGCUUAUAUUAGGAUUCUUAUUUGAUUUAGAUUCUUUCCUAGUUGUUUAGAUUUAGAUUUAGAUUUAGAUUUGAUUUUUGGUAUAGGAUUUAUUUCCAAAAAUUCUUGUAACCAACCCUAUAUAAUGUACUUGUAUCCAAUAAACAUAGAUAAGUUUUUUAUGCAAUUGGUGAGAGAGUUAAUUCUCUUUGGUUCUUUACCAACUUUUUGAACUUACCAGUUUUCUGUGGCGUUCAAACUCUUUACUUAUCAAUCAGACCAUCCAUAGGUGAUUGUGGCGUCUUCACAUACCAAGGUUCGUACUUUCAAUAAGCAUUGGGUCAAGGUUCCAAUCAAUUCUUGGUUUAGAUUCGAUCUUGGGGACUAAAUUGAUUAGGGUCGCGUUAGUUCUUGACGGGGUUCGUAUUGGUUGUUUUCUAGAAUCAGUAUUUUUACAGAUUUUUGUAGAGAAUGGUUUUCUGAUUAAAGUUAACAAUCAUCCAAAAUCAUAAACAUGUCUAGAAAUAUUAUAUGGUUUUCUAUUAAUGAAAGUUCCAAUAUUUUUCAUCAAAAAUAUAUAAAGUUUGUUAUAAACACAUACACAUUAACACUUAAAUUGCAAAAUUUUGGAAUUAUCUAACAAUUAUCUCAAAUAAUAAAUGGGUAAGUCCAACACAAGUAGUACCAUAGGAAUCUGUGAUAAUUAUUAAAAAAUGAAAAAGGUGAGCUAAUUCCAACACAAAUCCCAUCUAGUUGACACAUGUUCAUUGACUGUGAAAAAUUAAAUAACACCGCCAGUAAGGACCUUUUUCUCCUUCUAUUAUCAGAAAAAAAUCUUGAGCGAAUAGCAUAACACCUCCUACCAUUGUUUUAUGGACAACAACUCAAGUUAAUCUUACAUUAGGUUAAUCUCAAAUUUCUAUAGGCUUAGAAGACCAAGAAAAGAUCACAUUCACAUGCCAUUUGGAACAUUGUCAUUUAAGAGAAUGCUUUUUGGAAUUUGUAAUGCUCCUAUAACAUUUCAGAUUUGCAUCAUAAGCAUUUUCUAUGACGUGGUUGAAAAUUGUUUUGAGAUCUUUAUGGAUAAAGUGUCCUAGAAACAUGUGAAGAAAAAUGACUUGUUUUAAUUUGAAAAAAUGUCAUUUCAUGACCUCUUCUACAAAUUUCUUUGGUCAUGUCAUGUUUUCUAAUGGAAAAUUGAAGCCAGUAAAGCCAAAGUCAAAGUCAUCUCAACACUUUCUUCACCAAAGAUAAUUAGGGAUGUCUGCUCUUUUUGGGACAUUUCAGAUUUUGUAGGAGGUUUAUAAAAGACUUUAGUGCCAUAUCCGAACCACUUUCUAACGUCUUGAUAAAAGAUGCAUCAUUCAAGUAAAUUGAUGAUUUUUAGAAAGAUUUUGAAAAGGUAAUUAGUCUUUUAACACAGGCCUCUAUAAUGCAAUCCUAUGAUUGGUCUUUACCUUUUAAACUAAUGUGCGAUGCUAGUAAUUAUGUUGUUGGAGUCAUUUUUAGAUAAAGAAAUUUCUUAAGCCCUUUGUUAUUUGUUACGCAAAUAGAACUCUUAACAAUGCCUAAAUGAAUUACAUCACUAUUGAAAAAGAAUUACUUGUUGUAAUAUUUAUAUUGGAUAAAUUUCGAUCAUAUUUAAUUGGUUCAUCCUGUUGUUAGAUAUUUAAUGUGUAAACAAGAUGGCAAGCCAAGAUUUAUACUAUGGAUUUGGCUAAAAAUUCAACCUCACAAUCAAGGAGUAUACCACCUAUCUGGAUUAUCCGUCUGGAGUAUUCGGUUGCCAUCUGUGAUGAGCUUUAAUGGUGGCGGAUUUUGAGCAAUCUUUUUUAAAGUGGUGACAGCAAGUGUGUGGUUGUCGUUCCACUCUGGUGGUUUCUUUUUCAAUAAAGCAGAAAGCUGACCUGUAUGGUGGUCGACAUGUGGAAGAAAGUCCCUGAUAUAAUUGAUGAUACCAAGGAAUUGCUGUAUCUGAAAUGGAAAGUGGAGCAAUUCUUGGGCUAUGUGCUUUCCUGGCUGGUAGUGGCCGUCUUUGAUAAUCAUUCCAAGGAAUUCAAUAUUAUCCUGUUGCAAUGGUGCUUUUCUUGGCUAAUAACAUAAUCCCGUGAGUCUGGAUGAUAUCAAAAAAUUGAUUUAAUAAUUGGCGAUGUUCUUCAUGUGUGCCUGAAAACAACAAAAUAUCGUCAAUAUAAAUCAAUGCAUGAUGCAGGAUGGGUUGAAAGAUUCGGACCUUGGCUUUUUGAAAAAUGGAGAGAGCAGUUUUCAAAUCGAAGGGUAAAACUGUCCAUUGAUAGUGAGCAUUAGGGAUGCAAAAAGUGGUUUUGUAUCUUUCUGAGGGUUCAAUGCUAAUUUGCCCAAAAACCUGACUUGAGGUCAAAAUUGAAAAAAAUUUGGGCAUUUUUUAGAUAAGUGAAGAUGCUUUGUCUCUUUGGUAAAGGAAACUUAUCAUCUUGUAAGAACAUGUUUAAGGGUUGAUAGUCAAUGACUAAUCGCUUUUUCCCCCUAACAAGUUCAGUACGUUUUUCAACGUAAAACGCCUGACAAGCCCAUUGAGAGUUUGUGGGCUCGAUAAGUCCUUGGGCCAAGAGUUGGGAACAUUCCUUUUGGGCUAAAGUUAAGUCAGAUGGGCUCAUUCCAGGAUGAGUAGCCUUAGUAGGAUUGAUGUCUUCAUUCAGUUUGAAAGGUAAUUCAGAAUGGGACUCUGGAUAGUAUUUCAGAAGUUGGGUUGAAAUGUCUUUGUAGGACUGUGGGGAAUCAGUCAAACUGUAAAGUUUGAGAAUGGUUGUGUAGGGUUUGAACAUGGUUUUGACUCUUAUUCCGGAGGAAAGGAUUUGAAGGUGUUUGAUCUGGUGAAUGAUAUCAAAUCCUAACAAGAUAUCCUUGUCAGGAAGUUUUGAACCAAUGACUCUUGUCCAGAUAACACAGUUUGGGAAAAUCUGAAUACCAAAAUGUGUGGCAGAGAAUACGUGGCGUUGUUAUACCAGAACUACAACAGUUAAAACUGUACUUUGGACCAGUAGUCCUCAAGUUCGGGUUUCCAGCCAAUAUACCUCUGACAGACACUCCUUUGUCUUAAAACCGGGUACCAAACUAGAUAAGAAAUUAUCAAAAAUUUUCUAAUGCACAGGAUCCUUGCAAGAGGCAAGUGCAGAGCAUACUUCCUUGAGUUUCAAAAUGAACAGAUUUAUCUUCUUUAUUUUCUAUCUCAGAGCUUCAUUGAUAGAGAGAGAGAGAGAAUUUAGAAACUCAUAGCUAAAGAAAACAUUCUUUUAUUUUCUGCCAAGCUUACCAACAAAAUGGAGCAGUAGCUCCAGCUCCACCAAGACAACCAUUUCAUCAAGCUCUUUAAGCUCAUUAGCCACCAUUUAGACAGUAUAAUUAGAAUUAGAACUACUCACAACCCAGAUCAUGGGAAAAGUCACUCUAGAAUUUCAAAAGUUUGACUCACUUUCUGAUGGAACAAUAAAAUCGCACCAUUGACGAGCUGAAAAUGAGAUGAGAGCUAUCAUCAAUUCACAAGCCUAAUUGAUCUCAAACCUAAAAAAGAAGGUGGGUUAGUUUAAACCUUGGCAAUGACCAUUGAGAAAGGUAAAUUUCCAAGCCAACUAGUGCCCAAUCCUAAGGAAGUACAUGAAGUUUGUACGAGUUCACCCCAGCAGCAUGAAGAGAUCAAAGCCAUUAUGACCCUGUGAAAAGGCAAAGAAAUCAACAACAAAAUGCCAGUGAAAAAGAAAACUCAAGUUGCACCUUUAGACUUUGAGGAAUUAUCACCAAAGUCCCAUUCUCUCUGAGGUUAACUAAAGCAAAGAAGGAAAAUUCCACAAGUGAGAUUCUAAAGAUCUUUAAAUAGGUACAUGUUAACAUCCCUUUGCUUGAUGUUAUAAAACAAGUGCCCUCUUAUCUCAAGUUUCUUAAAGACCUUUGCACUAAAGAAGGCAUUUUUAAUGGAGAACAUUAGUUCCAUACAUUCAAUGUAGGACUAGAAAUGUGCAGUUGUCCUUUGGCAAUAUGACUAUAGAGUUGAAUAUUUUUAACAUUGUCAAACAAUCUUAAAAUAGAGACGAUGGAAUUAUUUAUGUUGAUUUAAUCAAAGAAUUAGGUUAUUAUACUUUUCCAUCUAACUUUAGUGAUGAUCAUUUCCAAACAUGUUUAAUUUACUUUGGUUUGAAUUUUAAUAUUGACAGAUCACUUGACAAGGUCAAUGCCUUACUCGAUUCAUCACCACCCAUGGAUACCAACAAAUGGAAGUCAAGAAUAGAGCAACUGGCACCAUCAGGGAAUAAACUCAGCCCAUUAUUGGAAUCACCAUCGAAGCUUGAGCUCAAACUGUUAACUGACACUUUGGAAUAUGCAUUCUUGGGAGAAUAAAACACUUUGACAGUAAUCAUCCCAUCUUCUCUUGAUGACAAGCAAAAGAGUAAGUUGUUGGGUAUCUUAAGAGAGCAUGAAGAGGCAUUAAGAUGGACCAUCACCAACAUAAAAGGUAUAAACCUAGUAGAUUGCAUGCAUUACAUUCAUCUUGAUGAAAAUGCUAAACCUACUAAAAAAUGCAACGUUGACUAAAUCCUAAUAUGAAAGAUGUAACACUUCACUUAAAUAUUUAUUUUUAAAAUAUUUCAAACACCGUUACGUUUUAAUAUAAAUACGAAUUCUAAAAAAAAGUUUUACAUAGCAAGCAAAACUUCUUUACAAAAGGUAAGAGACAUACACAGAUUCCUUAGUAUUUUUGUCAAAAACUUUAUUAUUACUAAAGCUAAGAUAUUUAUUUUUUAUUUAAAUAAAGUUGAGCCCAUCAUUAUGAGGAUAAGAGGCGAAGGCCUUUGGAAUUUCAAGCUGGUGACAAAGUAUUUCUAAAAGUUACCCUAAUAAAGGGAUCAAUGAGAUUUGGGAAGAAGGGAAAAUUAAGUCCGAGGUUUAUUGGGGCAUUUGAAAUACUCGAACGUGUCGGGAAUGUUUCCUACCGACUUGCCCUCCCGCCAUCGUUAUCAAGAAUACACAAUGUCUUUCAUAUCUCCAUGAUAAAGAAAUAUGUUCCAGACUCCUCCCAUGUGCUAGAUGAUAAGCCUCUCCAACUAGAAAAAGACUUAACCUAUGAAGAACAUCCAAUUCAAAUUCUUGAUAGAAGGAUAAAGGAGUUAAGGAACAAGAGGAUCCAUUUAGUUAAAAUACUAUGGCGAAAUAACUCAAUGGAGGAGGCAACAUGGGAACAUGAGGAAGAGAUGAAGAAUAAGUGUCCUAAGCUAUUUAGUAAGUAAAUUUUGAGGACGAAAUUUUCUAAAAGGGGGGAGGAAGUUGUGAGGUAUAAUUUUCUAACUUAAAUAUAAUAGAAUUUACUUUACGUUAAUAAGCUCCCUUAAGUAUUAAAAUGACAAUAAUAAUAACAAUAAUAAUAUAAGCAAUGACAUAAGUGAUGAUGGAAGAGAAGUUUGUAAAGAUAGUUAAGAAUUCUAGAAUUUAAUAAGAUAAUUAUGAAGGAUAAUCUCAACCAUUGAUCAAGAGAUAUGGUAGCCAUCCAUUAGCCCCCUUUCAUUUUCAAUGCAACCUAGAAAUUUUACCCUCUUCUAUUCUAAGUCAUAACAUCAAGAUUAGAGAAAUCCUCAAUUUAGAAAAGUCUAGAAAAGUUAAGGUCAAGAGGUAAGUAACACUUCAACUACAGUGUAGGAACAAAAUUCUUAACUUCAAUUUUAACAAUUCCUUUAUCUAGUGAUGGCUAUUAUAAUGUGAUAUGGUCGGCUAUGCUGCCUAUAUUAUGAUAUUUUCUUAUUUAUUCCAUGUAUGGUCGGCUAUGCCACCUAAUCUAUGAUAAUUUUACUCAAUUAAGUUAUGGUUGGCUCUGCUGCCUAUAUUAUAGUCCCAUUUUGUUUAAUCUCCAUAUGGAUGGCACUGCCGCCUGCAUUAAAGAAUGAUGUCCUUAAAUACCAUUGUAUGUUAAUUUUGUUGUUCCUAUAGGAACUUCAUGUGUUAUGAUAUUAGUUGCAUCAAACGCAUGCAUUUCAUGAACUAUUUUAUAAGAAGACGUUUUAGAAAUGAAUUUAUGAAAAUGGGUUGUACUAUAAGGUGGUAAAGUUCCCAAAGAGGGCAAGCCCUCCAAGCUUAGUAAAAGGUAAUCUUUUGAGGAUGGCGAUACAUAACAUCGAAAAGAUCAACUAAUCAGGGCUAAGGGCAUAUUGUUUAAAGAAUAAAAGUGCCAACCUUGUAGUACAUCAUACCUAGGGCCCUAACAAAGUUUUUUUCAGUAUUUUCUAAGUUUCUUUAAAAAAAACUUAAUAUGGUCAUUUAUAUGCAUAAUAAUUUAUACAUGCAUCAAAGUGUUAUUUUACUGGGCAUUAGGUCAUAAAGUCCUUACAUUACAGGUAACGAUGAGUAGAGCAAGUUGGUGCCAAAUCCUAACUAAGGCGAAGUGUGUAUGGGCAUAACAAACCUUGGUUUUAAUGAUGGGCUCAGCUUUGUUUCAAUAAAAAAUAAAUAUCUUAGCUUUAGUAAUAAUAAAGUUUUUGAGAAAAAUACUAAGGAAUCUUUGUAUGUCUCCUAUCUUUUGUAAAUAAGUUUUGCUUGUUAUGUAAAACUUAUUUUUUUAGAAUUCAUAUUUUUAAAACUUUAUAUUAAAAUUAACAGUGUUUUAAAUAUUUUUAAAAUAAAUAUUUAAGUGGAGUGUUACAAAAGAAGUCGUUAAAGCUAAAGUUCUUAAACUAUUAGAUACGGGUAUCAUUUUACCCAUUUUUGAUAGUUCGUGGGUUAAUCUAGUGCAUGUUGUCCGCAAAAAGUCAAUAGUCACAAUAGUUACCAACGUCGAUAAUAAAUUAAUACCCACUAGAAUGACUACAUGGUGGUGCAUAUGCAUUGAUUAUAGAAAAUUGAAUUUUGUUACACGAAAAGACCAUUUUCCUUUGCCAUUUAUCGAUCAAAUACUUGAUAGAUUAGCAAGUCAUUAAUUUUAUUACUUUCCAGAUUGCUACCCAGGAUAUAACCAGAUUCCCAUAGCAUCGAAAGACCAAAGAAAAACCACUUUCACUUGAAUUUGGAUUAUGUAAUGCAUCUGCCACAUUUGAAUAAUACAUGCUAAGCAUUUUUCUGAUACUGUUUAACAUUUCCUAGAUAUUCUUAUGAAUGACUUUUCUGUUUUUAGUGAUUUAUUUGAUCAUUGUUUGCAUCACCUAAUGCUGGUUUUGCAGAAAAGUAUAGAGAGGAAUUUGGUCUUGAAUAGGGAGAAAUGCCAUUUUAUGGUAAAAUAAGAACAAUUAGAAAAGUAAGAUCUUUCCUUGGGCAUGCUGGUUUUUAUAGAUGUUUCAUUAAAGAUUUUAGUAAGAUCUCUAGAUAUACAAUUUACUUGCUAAGGAUGUACCGUUCGUCUUUGAUGAUUUGCAUUUUAAGGCAUUUGAAAAAUUAAGUACUUUUUGACCUUAUAACCAUCAUUCAGCCUCUAGAUUGGAACUUACUUUUAGUUUUCAUAUAUCAUGUUUCUCUAAACCCUUUCUAUCUUCUCAGAGUCAAGAAAAUUAUUUGGAAUAAUAAGGAUACGUUCAUCUCUACAACUGGACAACGCAUUUUGUAGACAGAUGCCAGUGAUGAUUACUGGAGUGCCGUUGUUACACCAGAUCUAGGACAGAUCAAAGUCCGUCCUUACGGCCAGUAGCCCGCAAGUUCUGGUUUCCAGCCGAUAUACACUUAGCCAUUAAGUACCAAAUCCAAAAAUUAUAUUGAAAACAAUUUUUCACGAUACCACCCGAAAACACGGCACUCACUGCCUUAAAGAGGGUGAACGUUGUGAGAAAACAAUUUCGUUUUACAAAAAUUGGUUUUGGAGGAUAAAAACAGGACCUUUCUGAUGCACAGGAUCCUUAGGUUUAAGGCAAGUGCAGAGCAUACUCAGUAUUGAAAUUAGAGAUGAACGUAUCCUUAUUAUUCCAAAUAAUUAUUGAAAUUAGAGAUGAACGUAUCCUUAUUAUUCCAAAUAAUUUUCUUGACUCCUAGAAGAUAGAAAGGGUUUAGAGAAACAUGAGAUAUGAAAAUGGAUUUUAUUUCUGAUUAACUCCUGCCUUACAAAAGGGAAGAGAGAUCAUUUUAUAGAUAUCUCGAGGAGGAAAGAGAUAAGGUGGGAGCCUUAUCAUUUACAAAAGGAGAAACAUAAAGAUGAAAGCAAUAAAGCACUAAAGCACACCAUGCCAAACUAGAAAAGCAAAAGCAAACUUUAGACAAGACAGGACCCUUGCCUAAUUAUUAAAGCAAACUUUAAUAAAGUAAAAGCUAAAGAUUCCCAUGUGCUUAUCAGUGAUUACGGAGUGGUGGGACAUUUGGAUGGGGACACGUUACCGGUCUCUUUUUUAUAAUGGCGUUGGGCUCGGUGCAUCCGUCUUUGGUCAAGAUAUGCUUCAGCUGGCAGAUAUUUAUCUUCAUCUGCAUCGGUCAUUUUGGAUGUGGAAGGACCAGGAGAGUCUGGAUUGGUGACAGUAUAGGGGGUAUUUUCAGUGUGGAGAAGAGACUGAAAAUCUUCCCAAGGGUCUUGAGCGUCUUGGAAGAAGACAUUAGUGUAGUCAGGACGUUGUUCCAUGACAAGAGUUCCAUGUGGACUUGAACUUGAACCAGGAGUACAGGCUUGUGUCUUUGGAACUAUUUCCAAGCUAUGUGACGGUCCGACAGAGGUGUAGUGGAUGUUUGUGGCAGGUGGUUGAACAUUGUUGAGUUCCAUGAGAUAAACUCGAAGAACAGAUGUGACUGAUGAGAGGAUAAGGAUGGGGAUAAGUUUUCCAUUCAUAAGCCAUGUCUUGAGUCCAGAAGUCUCUGGUUUCUGGUUGUUGGAAAUAUGGCCGGUGAACAAUGAAAACUGUGGUGAACAUGUUUGCUUCGUGUUCUGGCAUCCUAUUUAAUCCGUGAAAAGUACACAGAUUCUGGAGCUGUUUACGCCACCAUGUGAGGGGUGAAUACCAUUCUAGGAGUGUCUAUAGAAGAUCAGAGGAAAACUCAGGAGUGGUGAUGUGGCAGAGAACUGGUUUAACAGGGAAGACCAGUUUUGUAGCAUACAAGGUUGUGAGACACCACAUAUACCAUAACUCAUCUUCUGAGAUGGAGAGGUGAGACAGGGUGAGACCUGUGAGAAACAAGUUUUCCAUAUAGAGUGUAGGAAAAUGAUCAGGAGUCUUACUGUGGACAUUGAAGAAAUACCGGUAAAGGAAUUUCUUAGCAAAGUCUUGGAUUUGGUAGGCUGAAGAAAAAUGAAUGUUCAUGGGAAAAGAUCUCUGGUUGAGAGCUUUGAAAGGAAGUUGUCGAUUCAUGGCUAUGACUGGGAUGAUAUGAGUUGAAGAGAAGAGUGAGGGUUUAUUUAUAGCCGGGCAUGUAAGGAAGUCUGGGAUUAGGCUCUGUUUACCUUUGAUGUGCUGGACAGUAAAGUCAUAUUUGGAGAACCAAGUUUUGAGAUUGAGCAGUUGUUUGUCAGGGAGCAACUUGUUCUUGAAAUCAAAGAUUCUAGGAAAAAAGGAAUUGUCCAUGUUGAUAAGGAAUUUAUGGCUGAUUAGAUGAAAUUCAAAUUUUUUUAUUCCAUACUUUACCGCCAAAAUCUCUUUAGAUCACAUGGUAGUUCUUUUCAGAGUCUUUGAAUUGUCCGCUUGCAUAGGCACAGAAAUGGUCCAAACCAUCUAUCCUUUCGAGGAGAAUGGCACUCCAAUAAUCAUCACUAGCAUCUGUUUGCAAAAUGCGUUGUCCAGUUGUGGGAAUUCUGAGUGAAGGAGGUGAUUGAGCUAUCAUUUUCAGCUGCUUGACAGCUUCAGUUUGUGCUAGUCCCUAGGGAGGACACUAUUUUUUGAGCAUGCGGGACAGCUGGCUGGUGUGGAUUGCAACUUUAGGAAUGAAAUCUCGAACAUAAUUAACAAUCCCGAGGAAUUGUUGAAUUUACUUCUUAGUGAGAUUUGUGUUUGGGAACUUUAAUAAUUCGGUUGCAAUAUGCGGGCUAGGUUGGUAGUGGCCAUUUGUGAUCACCAUGCCAAGAAAGUCAAUAGAUUCUUUCGCUAUGCUGCUUUUCUUUUCAGAAAGCAUGAUUCCAUGAGCCUACACAAUAUGAAAGAAAUCCAAAAGGAGUUUUUGAUGGCUAUCAUGAUCGAAUGAGAACAAUAAAAUAUCAUCGAUGUAGACCAAAGUAUGAUAGAGGAUGAGACUGAAAAUUUUUGUCAUGGCUUUUAGAAAUAAGGACGGAGCAACUUUAAGACCAAAGGGCAUAAUAGUCCAUUGAUAGUGAGCAUCGGGAAUGCAGAAAGCAGUUUUGGGAUGGUCAACUAGUGAAAUACCAAGUUGCCAAAAACCAGCUUUUAAGUCAAACUUAGAGAAGAUACGUGCCCCUUGAAGAUGGACAAACAGGGUCUGGAUUUUUGGAAGGGGGAACUUAUCAUCUCUAAGGAAAGAAUUGAGUGGCUGGUAAUCAAUGACUAACCGCUUUUUACCACGAACUAAUUCGGAUCUUUUUUCAACAUAGAAGGCUUGACAAGCCCAAUUUUAAUCAGUUGGUUCAAUUAGACAUUGUUCAAGUAACUGAGAACAUUCUUGCUUAGCAAGUAAGAGGUUUGAUGGAGACAUACCCGGGUGAGAUGCUUUGGUAGGGUUUAUGUCUUCAUUGAGUUUAAAAAGAAGGUGAAUGAAGAACUGUUCAUUUUUCCAGAAAAGGGAAGGAUGAUGGAAUUGCGAAUGAUUUUCUGGACAGAACUGAAGGAGUUUUUGUGAAAUAUGACUGUAUGGAGUUGGGACAUCAGAAAGUGUAUACAGACAGAGUAUAUCUGUAUAAGGCAAGAACAUUUAUUUGUAGCGAAUUCCAGAACUAGUAAUGAAUAGAUUUUUAAACAAAUGAAGGAUAUCAAAACCUAUGAGCAAAUCUUUAUCUGGAAGAGUGGAUGCUACAAUCUUUUUCCAAAUAAUGCAAUUCAGAAAGAACUGAAUACCAAUGGGUUUUUUGGUAAUUAGAGUUGUUUCAAAUGUUUGCCAUUGACUGCUCUGAAUAAUUUGGAAUGGUUUUCCCAACAGUCUGAGGGAAGGACAGAAGGAUCAAUCAUACUGGUAUCUGCACCAGUGUCAAUAAAUCCGAUGACAGGAACAAGUUUAUGAAACUUUGAAGGAAGGAUUGACAUUUUGAGAGAAGGUCUGGGAAUGGUUGAAACCUGGUUGACAUUUUGGACUGUAGAAAUGACUAAAAUAUCAUCAGAAUCGGAAGAUUCUGCAAGGAUGAAAGCAGUCUGAUCAUUUUGUUCUGACUGUUCUGAGAAGUUGGAUUCAACAUCUUCGUUUUCAGAUAACAAUGAAGAAUGUUGGAGAUGUUGUAUGAGGCAAACAACUUUGGCAGAUUUAUGAGGACAUUUCGAGCAAAGUGACAGCGUUUCUUACAGAUGAAACAAUGGUUAUUCUUCUUUUUUCUAUAUUGGGAAACAUUUUUUUUCUUGAAAUACCGGAAAGGCUUUUUGGAGAACGAGUUUUUGUGGAAGUGUUUCUGAAAGUGUUUUUUUCUUCUUGGUUGGACAAGCAUUUCUUCUCAUCUUUGCAUUCAAUUUGGAGAUAGGGUUUUUGCAAUCUUCAGAAAAGGGUUUCUUAUCUGCCAUGAGAUCUUUGAAGAACUCUUUCUGUUCACAGAUUUUUUCAAGGCAUAACAUUGCUGUUUGAAAAAUCUUUUCAAGAGAAAUGUCAGCUAUGCUGAGAUUUGUGGCAGUGAGUUAUCUUUGAAGAUCAAGUUGAAGUUCUAAAGGAAGUGAAGCGAUGAAGACAUGCUUGAGGGACGGUUCAUUGAAACCAUUCAGCUUAUAGAAUAGAACACUCAUACGUUUGUAAUGAGCUUCUAAAAGAUGUCUUUUGAGAGAACAACAUUUCAUCUGGUGAUAUUCUUUUCGAUCUGCUUCUUUGGAAGCUGUGCAUGCACCUAUGAACUAUUCAUGAAUAAUGUUGAGAGCUGUGCCAAUGGGGGAUUGCAUGAAUUGGAGCUGCCUGUAUUCUCGCAAGCUUUCUAACUAAUCUCGUAAAGAACCCGUUGAACGGGCCAUAAAUUCACGAAGAAUAUUUUCUGGAUGUGCAUUGGGUUUGGUUCCUUGGAGAUCAAUCUAUGCAGCAAAUUCUUGAAGACGAAAAGGCCAUUUGUGACUUGGAAUGUCAUCAAAUGUAAACCAAGAUGCUGAGGAAGGUUUGGUGAAAUGGUCAGUAACCGGCAGAGGCAUUUGUGGAACUGGUUCUGUUGGAGCUUGUGUUUGAUCAUCAGAAGAAUUGUCUUCUACAAUAAAAGUUGUAGUUGAGGCACUUGGAUCUUCAGUUUUGGUUGCCAUCAGUAUGCUUGUAAGAUCAUCAUAUUCAGAUUCAGAAUCAGUGGAAGUAUGGGCUAUGUUUAGGGAUGAGGAAGAGGAAGAUGAAGUGGAGUCUGAAGGAUUAGAGUCAUAUAAUGGUUCGGACUCAGAUGCAGAGAAAAAGGAGUCUUGGGCCUGAACUCUAUGGUAAUUGUUGAGUGUUAGAAAAUGCAUAUUUAUAAAGGAGAAAACUGUCAUUUUACAUUUCAAGUCUUACUAACAACCCUUACUUUUAUGUAUUUAACAUUCUUGUGAUUUAAUUACGUGUGUUUUAUUUUAAUUAAGUAAUUUAUGUAUUUUAGGGGCAUUAUAGUGAUUUCACAAUAAAGGAGAGAUCAGACGGCAAAACGGACAUCACUUUUGAACUCAGGACGGUCGAAAACCUUAGGAGGAGCAUAAAAGGAAAAAUGACACUAUUCACAUGUACGGUACUAUUCACGGAUAUGGUACUGUCUACGUUACUGUUCAUGACACUGUUCACAUAGACGGAUCGAUGAUGUGGCAUUGACCGAUGACGUGGCAUUGACUGAUGAGGUGUCACGAUCCUGUUGGACUAAAAUUCUUAUAUACUGUUGAUGGUGACGUGGCAGCAUAUUAGUGGACGAAAAAUCUCGCGUACGGUACAUGCAUCACACAGUAUUAUUUUCAACCAAACCGUGUUACUGUUCAUCCGCGUGGUCAAACCGUGGACUGUUGACUGAUGAGGUGGCGUAAUCCUGAGCGUCCAAACUGUUUUUAAUCCGAUGGCCAUGAUUUACUCCAUGUAUCUAUAAAAAGGGGGUCUCUACCCCCUAAUUGGAUAUCUCUGAAUCCAUUUUUGAACUCUGUUUUCUGUAAUUCCCUCUCCAUCUUGUAUUUUCUUCGUAUUUUAAUAAAUUCCCAUUUUGCCCCUAGUUCAAUUAUGAGUAGCUAAUUUCCGUUCAAGCUUGGGUUGAAGGUGAAGUCUCAACAUGUGUCAUGGGCUUAAUUUGGUAAAUUUAUUUUCUAUUCCCCUCUAGUUUUUGUGAAUGUUUUGACUUCUCGUCGACAAAUAAUAAUAUUCUUGUCUAGUACCGCCUUGGUUUCACCAGCCCCCUAGUACAAGGUUAUUAUUAUUUGGCACGAUAAGUCCUUAGCACCAUAUUGAUUAGAGCGUGGUUCAUGAGGUGUGGAUUCCCCCCUCAUGAUUUAAUUGGCAUUAAUAAGGAUUAUUUAGCCCAUGAUGCAUGUUGAUACGGAUCCAGAUACCCAAGUACGUCAUUUCAAUAGAUUUCGCUUCAAUUUAUUCUAGCCAUUACAAUUCCAAUUUUAGAAUUUAUUAUCGCCAUCUCAAUUCCAAUUUUAGGAUAAUUUAAAUCACUUCCACCAUAAAUCCAACCACUCAUUUACAAAAUUAAUUCUACACAGAAUUAAAAUCCACCUCCUCAUGGGAUCGACACUCGUCACCAUUGAUCUAUACUACAAUAGAUUCGUGCGCUUGCGAGUACAUUAAAAUUUGCACAACAAGUUUUUGGCGCCGUUGCCGAGGAGGUAAGUAAUUUUAAUUCAUAGAAUUAAUUUUUGUGAAUAAUUUCUUUUAUUUUUUUUUCUUGUAUUUU